CAGAAUGAUGAUGAUCUCAACCCAACUGAAACUCUCUAAUGACUACUUGGCGAUCAUAAAAGAUAUGAGAUUCUG